rnacentral:antisense_RNA from 1 species
UUGGUAAUUUUUCUUAUAUCUCGCCCUCGUGAAGCCCAGAUAUCAUAUACGCCCCCAAAAUAAACAUCCUUGACAAGAAAAAAAGCACCAAUACGCACUAAGUGAAUACCUAAAAUUGUGAUCAUUUUAUUUUGAUAUUUCUG